rnacentral:rRNA from 1 species
UACGUAGGGGGCAAGCGUUGUCCGGAUUUACUGGGCGUAAAGCGCGCGUAGGCGGAACUUCAAGUCCGGUCUGAAAGCCCCCGGCUCAACCGGGGAGGGUGGCUGGAAACUGGGGUUCUUGAGGGCGAGAGAGGAGGGUGGGAUUCCUGGUGUAGCGGUGAAAUGCGUAGAGAUCAGGAGGAACACCCGGGGCGAAGGCGGCCCUCUGGCUCGACCCUGACGCUGAGGCGCGAAAGCGUGGGGAGCGAACGGG